CUCACACACCUCAUAACUCAGUCAUAUGUCCCCAGGUGAUCUCUGUGUUUGUCAACACCCUCCUCAGGGGGAUUGCAAUUUUUGCAAUAAUUGUAUAAUUCUACAUUUAUAAAAAUUUUCUUGUUUGAGAGUAAUUUUAGGAUAAGAAACUUACUACCUCCCUGAAUCCAGAAAGUGAACUGUUUGGAGAAGGUAUCAUGAAGAUGCCUGCAAAAACUACACACUGCACCAAAAGAUACAAAAUGAACUUAGGGAUGUAGUAAAAUUGAACUGGAGGGGUGGUUUGAACACAUUUAUUUUAUAUGUACACUUUUAUGCCAAAGGGGACUACCCUCUAAUUGGUUUUUUGUCAAUGCACCUAGCAACCACUGGUUUUGUUCUUUUUCCCUUUUAUCCCCAAAUUAUUGUAAUUUCCCCUUAGUAAGUACAAUAUUGUAUGUACCUCUGUUUGGAGAUCGUUAGAGAUAUAAAUUGGCUAUGUGUACUGAUUCCAUGGGGAAACUAGGAAUGUAAAUCUGGGAGAUUUCUACAUGAUCAUUUCCCAUGGGAAUCACAAGGGGAUUGCAUAAUUAGGAUCUGUAUCCUAAAACUACAACUCCCAGCAUCCCACUCUCCUUCUCUUGUUAAGUGCUGACCUAGGAAGGAUAUAAAUUUUGGUGUAGCCCUGCCUCUUGCUCUCUUCUCUUCCUGUCAUGGCUUUGGUGGAAAGGGCCUUUUAAACAGUUUUCUCAUCUGUCAAGUGAUGGUGUUGGACGCAUUGGCCCGAAGCAUCUGUCUAGUUCUAAAUUCAUGACUCUACAAGGACCUGGAUCUCCAGAAGCUUCUAAGUUUUUUUCAUCUGUGAAAUGAAUUGGAGAAGGAAAUGGCAAACAACUCUAGUGCCUUGGCCAAGAAAGUCCUCAACAAAAAGGAGUCGUGAAGAGUCAAGACGUGACUUAAAACAACUGAACAAAAAGGAAAUUGCCUCAGCCACCUCAGCCUUGAGCAGUUGCCACCCUGAUCAGUCAGCAACCUUCAUCAACACUGGAGCAAGACCCUCCACCAGCAAAAAAGAUUAUUCUAACUUAUUGAAGGCUCAGAUGGUGCUUCGCAUUUUUAGCAGUAAAAUGUUUUUAUUUUUUCAAUAA
rnacentral:lncRNA from 1 species